UUGCUUCAGCUGCACAUAUGUUACAACUGGAACCAUACAGAAAAGAUUAGCAUGGCGCCCUCCCAAAGGAUGACAUGUAAAUUCAUGAAGCCUUCCCUAUUUUU